rnacentral:rRNA from 1 species
UACGUAGGGUGCGAGCGUUGUCCGGAAUUAUUGGGCGUAAAGAGCUCGUAGGCGGCUUGUCGCGUCGGAUGUGAAAGCCCGGGGCUUAACUCCGGGUCUGCAUUCGAUACGGGCAGGCUAGAGUUCGGUAGGGGAGAUCAGAAUUCCUGAUGUAGCGGUGAAAUGCGCAGAUAUCAGGAGGAACACCGGUGGCGAAGGCGGAUCUCUGGGCCGAUACUGACGCUGAGGAGCGAAAGCGUGGGGAGCGAACAGG